UGCGUGGUGGCUGAGUGGUAAAGCGGUUGGUUUCUGAGCCAAGGGGUUCCGGGCUCAAAUCCUGGUGAAGCUA
rnacentral:tRNA from 1 species